rnacentral:rRNA from 1 species
UACGAAGGGGGCUAGCGUUGUUCGGAAUUACUGGGCGUAAAGCGUGCGCAGGCGGCUUCUCAAGUCAGGUGUGAAAGCCCAGAGCUCAACUCUGGAAUUGCCUUUGAGACUGAGUGGCUUGAGUACGAGAGAGGUGAGUGGAAUUCCCAGUGUAGAGGUGGAAUGCGCAGAUAUCAGGAAGAACACCAACGGCGAAGGCAGCUCGCUGGGACGGAACUGACGCUAAGGCGCGAAAGCGUGGGGAGCGAACAGG